UACGUAGGUGGCAAGCGUUGUCCGGAUUUACUGGGCGUAAAGGAUGCGUAGGCGGAUGUUUAAGUGAGAUGUGAAAUACCCGAGCUCAACUUGGGUGCUGCAUUUCAAACUGGAUAUCUAGAGUGCGGGAGAGGAAAGCGGAAUUCCUAGUGUAGCGGUGAAAUGCGUAGAGAUUAGGAAGAACACCAGUGGCGAAGGCGUCUUUCUGGACCGUAACUGACGCUGAGGCAUGAAAGCGUGGGGAGCAAACAGG
rnacentral:rRNA from 1 species